GGCAGCUGACAAGCCUACAACUGGCUGAUAAUAAAGAAACAAAUUAUAAUGCUAUCAAACUAUCAAAGACUAUAGUUCGAGCAAAUACUGUGGCUACUACAUCGUCACCGAAUAGUCGCAACGUUACCUACCGACAUUUUCCCUAUAACCGGCAGCAUACGCAGUGUUCACGUAUUAUCACCACUUUUCGUACGAACGUCGUCACGCGUUUUGUUCCCCCGUCUCGAGUUAUUCUUCCCGUUGUCACCGUACGUAUUUUUAUAAAAUAUUUUUAUUUUCUGAAUGAAUAUUUAUUUUUUGUUAUUUUAAUUCAAAUAAAUAACUACGCCUUUUUGGGCACACAUAAUUGCAUUCUUUUUUUUUAUUGCAACUUCCCGAACAUUUUGGUCCCUUGACGAUUUAUCGUCGUCACGUAUACACCAAAAUACUAUAGAUAAUUUUGUAGUAUUUGGUUUAAGCUAUUAUCAGUGUAAGUCGGGGAAAUCGUCAAUUCGCCUGACCGAUAAAAUACUAUCAUAACACUACAAUUUUAUGUGAUUUAUUUGGUACAACGUACAAAUCUUGUUUCUUCAGGAGCGAGAACAUUCAACAUACUAAACCUUGAACGUGGAAGCAUAACAUCUCUUUUCUCCACGUGAAUUGUUUAUUAAAAAACAUCCACGAUGACGUCAAAUGAUCAAAGAAUUUCCGCUGUACCUAGUCUAAUAAAGUGGUCUUACCGUGCCUGUAACAAAGUUCAGCGUGACAUGUAUGACGGGAUGGACGUUCCGGUCGUCGACUUGAGGGAUUUCUGCGAACUGCGUUUCCAAUUCAUAAAAUUUAAUGCGAAUUUGGAUAAUGACCCAUCUUUCAUUGAGCAUGACAUCAUGCUAGAAAUGAUAAAAGACAAUGCCCUGAUAUACGGACACGUCGGUUGUCUGUGUUUCGCUUGGGAGCUUAGCGGUCCUUGGUUCGAACCGGAUUGGUGUAAAGGGACAUCGUGCAAUCGGGCCGCGAGAAGAGGACACCUGGUAUGUUUGAAGUAUUUACAUGAAGUGGGAUGUCGCUGGGACUCAGAAACGUGUGUACAGGUCGCAGAGGGCGGACACUUGGAUUGUCUAAUGUAUGCACACGAAAAUGGAUGUCCAUGGAAUUGUCGAACGACAACGUCAGCUGCCGUUAAUGAACGUCUAGAGUCUAGACUGUUUGAGAUAUGCAAUUAAUAAUGGAUUGUAUUAGAAUGAUGUAACGACAGAAAUAGCUAACAAACAUUCGGACAUCUGGACUGUUCCUCACCGUAGACUUAUACUAUCAUUAUAUCAUUAUUGUAUUAAUGAAGAUACUAGAGUGUAAAAUUAAUUUUGGUUCAACUUGUAAUGGAUUUAAUGAAAAAAUUAAGAAUAAUAUAUAGGAAAACAAUUUAUAACAAAAAAAUAAUAAAAAGUAACUUUGAUUUAUAAUAAUAAAAAUCAGUUUAAUAACAUGGUAAAAAUUAUAUCUUAACAGAACACAACACCACCGAUGAAUGGGAUGACAAACAGUAAAAUUAAUAAAAUAAUAAUUAAUAAUAUUUUAGGUUAGAUUACAGUGCCUACAAUUAUAUUUGUAUUUAGCUCAGGGGCGGAUCCAAACUAAGAUAACGGAAGGGGUGAUUUUUAACGGACACAAAGGAUUUUGAUAAAAUUAAAAAUAUUAAUUUUUAUAUAGGUCGGUUAUUUAUUUAAAUAAAAAAAAUCUUAAAAAAAAAAUACGUUACGUAUUAUUAAUAUUGGUUACGAAUAUCUUAAAUCGUAAUAGUAGUAUAUCACUAAAUAAUAAAUAUAACUGAGAACAUAGUACCAGCAUAAGUUUGGUAUAAAAAAAAAAAUUAAAAUUUCCCUAUUUACCCAUAAAGUAAUUACGUUAAAAACUAAAGUUUGUUAGGUGAACGGGGGGGGGGGUCGCCCCAUUCGCCCCUUCUGGAUACACCCCUGAUUUAAGUACUAAUCAUUAAUAAAUGUAAAUGUAGAAAAUGUAGUUUAUGUAAAUAAGUUGAUGUAAUAUUUUUAGGCAAAAAUACUAUUCGGACAUUUGAUGCGCUCCUAUAUAAUAUUAUGUUUUUCAAUAAUAUGAUGUCCCAGUUUGGUGAUAAUAAAAUAACACUACCGUAUA